AUAUAUAUUUUUCUUGUAUCUAAAUAAAAUAUCCAUAAAUGAAACCCCUUGAAGUUGAACAUGUGACUCCAACAAUACAAGUAUGCAACACAUAAAUCCAUGCGUAGUACGUGUGUGAUGAAGUGAGCUUGAGAGAUAAUGAAUUAUAACAAAUAGGAACCAUUGCUUUCAAACUACUAUAUAGUAUAUGCAUGUGUGAAGCUUUUUGUGUUUUACCUGGACAAUCAAAGGAUCUGAAACCUUUUGAUGUACAGUGAUCAGCUCAACUAGCUUGACAAAUAAAUCAAAGGAAUUUCAUUCUGUUAACACUGAUGAGUUGGUCUCGUUAAAGAGAAGGGUGCUGUAGAUUGAUUCCCAUUUUUAGCUUGAAUGUUCAGUUGCAGAAACAUGAAUCUUUUCUCAGUCGUCUACAAAAAAAACUGAUGCUUUGUAAACACAUUUUUCCGUAAGAAAUUUGGUCCAUUCGGCUGUAAAUAAAGUGAGGUGCUGAAAAAAAAUGAAAUUUUACAAGAAUGAGAGGUAACUGAAAGACAUAAAGAAAUAGUCAUAAAAUCUCCAUCAAAUCAUUAGCAUUCAUUGUUCAGUCUUGUCUCUGUUUUCACUUCACACUGCACCAAGUUUCCAAACUGUCUUUUUUGUUAAGACAUUAUUUGUUUUUAACAUCACUGCCUCCAAAAACAU